rnacentral:lncRNA from 1 species
CUUUAUUCUCUCUCUCUCUCUCUGGUUGGUAGGUGUUUACUGAUGAUUGAAAAAUUCCAAUGUAGUCAUUCGUUCACAUUGUUUCAUUAGUGGAUUAACAGGACGAGUCUUGUUCUUUCUUUCCCAUCCUUUUUCCUCUGUUCAGUUAUGAAUGGCUGUUUAAGCAGGACGGAGUGGUUCAUCCUGUUUUAGGUAUCGGAGUGGCGGUCAUUGCCAGUUCGGGCAAAGCGAAACACCUGCAUACAAAAAAGCCUACUGUUUCUGUUCGAACAGUAGACUUCAAUUUGUUAACAAGACGACAGGAAAAACAGAUUGUUUAUUGAUGUCUAAUAAGGAAAUGAAUCAAACGAUGACGCAUUCCGAUUUGGAAGGAUGUUUGCAAAUGUUUCUUGGAGUUUGGCGAUAAGUAAUUGCGCCUAUAGACUGUUAAUACUUCCUAUCAGAAUGAGUGCACAGCCAACUCUUAAUGCUGCUAAUAUCCGCCCGCAUGAUAAAGAAAAACGUUUAGAAAAAAAAAGCGCUAGUGCAUUUACCCUCAGAGUGGUUUUGGCACAGAAAAAAAAAAGAAAGAUAUACGUGACGAGUCGCAUUUUUCGUUACUAAUUUUUUUUCGUUCGCUUUUUUUUUUAUGGAAGUCGCAGCUAGAUUUAGUUUGUCAGGAUUAGUUAGGUGUGUUGAAAGUAGUUCUCCCUGACUCGAAAGAGACGUCGGGAAGGCGAAGGACGGCUCCGUUCGUAUUGUGAACGAGUCUUCUGAACAUCUGUUUUUUAUCACCGUUUUAGCAGACAACACUCCAGUGUUGAAAACUCGGAAAUAAAUAAAAAAUCAGUUGAAGUGUUGGAGUCUAUGCCGAUAAAUAGAACCAAGUGGCAUCGACGGCUAGAAAACGAAAAACUGUACAAUUCCGAAAACAGAUUGAAGUUCGGCAUUGACCUGGUUACAGGCCGUCUUACCAUAUGUAGACAGCAAUUGAAAAAUCUUCUUCUUAAACGGUUUUCUUUUUUUCUUUUUUAUUUUAUUUCUUAAAUUAAAUUGUUUCUAGGACAUUUUGGCGGUGUUUUUCUUUUUAUUAUUAUUUCUUUCUAUUGUGUAUAACAGCGAGAAGUACCGAUUCUGCGGUCGUAAAAUUUAGGACAGGAAUCUGGCGUAUCUCAUCCCUUACUCGAUCCUCUUCAGAGGUGUGGUUUUAAACGGCUUUUCCACCUGCUUUUUGACCAUUUUUAUACACGGAUUUUGUUUUUUUUUUUUUUUGUUUGUUUGUAGGCCAACGUCAUUGAGACAAUUU